ACCCUUUCGCCAAUUUUUUUCGU
rnacentral:miRNA from 1 species